rnacentral:rRNA from 1 species
GACGAACGCUGGCGGCGUGCUUAACACAUGCAAGUCGAACGGUAAGGCUCCAGCUUUCUGGGGUACACGAGUGGCGAACGGGUGAGUAACACGUGGGUGACCUGCCCUUCACUUCGGGAUAAGCCUGGGAAACUGGGUCUAAUACCGGAUAGGACCGCACCGUGAGGGUGGUGUGGAAAGUAUUUUCGGUGUGGGAUGGUCCCGCGGCCUAUCAGCUUGUUGGUGGGGUAAUGGCCUACCAAGGCGGCGACGGGUAGCCGGCCGGAGAGGGUGGACGGCCACCUUGGGACUGAGACACGGCCCAGAAUGCUACGGGAGGCAGCAGUGGGGAAUAUUGCAGAAUGGGCGGACGCCUGAUGUAGCGACGCCGCGUGGGGGAUGACGGCCUUCGGGUUGUAAACUCCUUUCACCAUCGACGAAGGGUUUUUGACGGUAGAUGGAGAAGAAGCACCGGCUAACUACGUG